GAGCUGUCAGUUACAUCGUAACAGGAAGGUUACUUUGUAGCAGGAAGAGGCAGGAUUUACUAAAGCGGUCAGAGUUGAGGUCAGAGGCAAGUUAGAAACGGAAUUCCAGUGGCAAGCUCUUCCUGAGAAAGACAAGACCAGCUGUUCUCCUGGGCAGAAAAUGUGGGGGUGAAGCAAGACUGUGCCCUUCCUGGCUAUGCAGGAGAAAGGCUGGGAGACAGGGAGCACCACUUGGCAGGAGCACACAUACCCUGCAGCUCCUGCCUGCUUGUGCAUCGGAAGCACACUGGUUCCCUAGAAUAGCUGCCAAAACUGUGUGUUACCUGGCCCCAGGGCUGCUGCAGACGAGGCAGGAACCAAGACUCUGCUCUCCAGGCAAAGAAGAAAAUUUUGACACCUUUGCCCUGUAGGUGAGACAGGAACUCUGUCUCAGGCACAGAAACACUGUUGGGAAUCCCACCUUCUAAGACCAAAAACAUAGGCUCUUAGGAAGCUGGGCCGGAAGAAGCCAGCAGCACCCAGAAGCACCCUACUGGCUCCAAACACAGUGACCCACAUCCACACCCAGCUUCUACAAGGCUUGCACAAGUGAGUAACUGUAACCACACUUACCACUAGUGGGAGAGCAAGAGGAGAAUGUGGCACAAAUUAACCUCAGACUUGGGGCAGAAGGGUUGGAAGUUUGAAGUCAGUUUGGGUUGUUUUGAAAGAUAAAGUUGCCGGGUGUGGUGGCACACGCCUUUAAUCCCAGCACUCGGGAGGCAGAGGCAGGCGGAUUUCUGAGUUCGAGGCCAGCCUGGUCUACAAAGUGAAUUCCAGGACAGCCAGGACUAUACAGAGAAACCCUGUCUCAAAAAAACAAAAACAAAAACAAAACAAAACAAAAA
rnacentral:lncRNA from 1 species